ACGUACACUCCUGCGGGAGGCAGCAGUGGGGAAUAUUGGACAAUGGGCGCAAGCCUGAUCCAGCCAUGCCGCGUGAGUGAUGAAGGCCCUAGGGUUGUAAAGCUCUUUCACCGGUGAAGAUAAUGACGGUAACCGGAGAAGAAGCCCCGGCUAACUUCGUGCCAGCAGCCGCGGUAAUACGAAGGGGGCUAGCGUUGUUCGGAUUUACUGGGCGUAAAGCGCACGUAGGCGGACUAUUAAGUCAGGGGUGAAAUCCCGGGGCUCAACCCCGGAACUGCCUUUGAUACUGGUAGUCUUGAGUUCGAGAGAGGUGAGUGGAAUUCCGAGUGUAGAGGUGAAAUUCGUAGAUAUUCGGAGGAACACCAGUGGCGAAGGCGGCUCACUGGCUCGAUACUGACGCUGAGGUGCGAAAGCGUGGGGAGCAAACAGGAUUAGAUACCCGAGUAGUCC
rnacentral:rRNA from 1 species